rnacentral:lncRNA from 1 species
GAACUUAUUUUUUAUGCAGAAAAAAUAUUACGCAGGAAAAAAUAUUAUCAACAAACAUGAAGAAGAAGAAGAAACACACAAGUAUAUUGUUGUUAUUUUUUCUUCCAUAUUGUAUUUAACAAACUACUUUAUUCUCUAACAAAUGUAAUUUUUUUAAAAGGAUAUUCAUUCUUCUUCAUGUUAUGUUCUUCUACAAUAAACUAUUGUGUUUUCUAACACUACAUUACUCUACAAAUUAUUAAGCAAUGUAACUUUACAUCACUCUACAAAUUUUUCAGCAAAUUAACUUCAUGUUAUUUAACUUUUUGUUCAUAUGUUCUUGACAAUUUUAAAUUCGUAGUCUUUUAAAAGUACAGAAACAGUAAAAAAAAAUUAGCAACAUAAUUUUUUUUUAUUUAGAAAUUGUUGAAGAAAUUUUAUUUUAUUUUAUUUUCUUUUUCUACUUUUUUUUAGCAACAUAAAAAUGCUUUUUUAAUAUAAAAAAUAUCUUAUUCUAAACUUUUGUUUUACCAAGUUUUAAGAUCGAAAAAAAAAAUCAAACAAAUUCUAAACAAAAUAGUUAAUUCUAAGAUGAAGAGUUUUCUUAUUUUUUUUAUCAACAAUAAUAAAUUCAAAAAAACGAACAGAAAAAAAAAACACAUGAAAGAGUCUAUAUACUCUUCAUACAAAAUAUCUAUGAAUAGAAAAUUUUAAAAUACAUAUAAACAGAUCUUCAUUAGAAAAAAUACAUGUAGUAAAACUAGAAGACAAGAGAUCCAAAGUUUGAAAUGAAGUUUGUUGUUAUUGCAGGAAGGCAUGAGAGAAUGGAGGAAAUAUUUCUGUGUGCCCAAAUUGAGUAACAAAUAGAUUCAAAUGAAAUCUUGCAAGAUCAAUGUUACAGACAUGACACUAAAUCCAUCGAUGUUAAAGCUAGAUGACCGGAAAUAAUGUUUUUUUUUACUUUUAAGGAGAAAUAUGAGAAGAAGAUGAGAAUGAUCCAUUUUUCAAACUAAGUCCUUUAAAAGAUCUGUUUGGAUAAAAGUGUAGUGGAAGACGAAAGGAUGAAAAAUAUGAUUUUUGUUUACAGAAAGAUGACCAAAAACGAUUGUUUGGUGGCCAGAGGUGUGAAUUUUGGUGGUGAAGUCUGAGAGAGGGAUGGCAGAACGAGGAAGACAGAAGGAUCUAAGGGCGUCAAUGUGAUGAGAGAGAAUAGAAAUGUUUUACUUUUGUAAUUAAUUAAUGAAAUGUUAAAUAUAAAAAUGUUUUUGUUAUCUCUACGGAUUUUGUAGUUGAUAUGGAGUUUCUUUCUUUAAAAAAAAAGGUUAAUAAGAUAGGAGUAGU